UCCUCCCUCCAAAACCCCUGCUUUACCGCGGGGGUUUCGGGUGUUGGACCGCGUUGGACCGUUCGCGGCCAACUGGUCUCAAAGACAAUGACGGGCGUCCAUGGGACCCUCUUCGCACUGAGCUUUCCGGAGCACGCGUUGAGUUGCAAGGUCCCGGGGACCCGGCCUCCUCAAAAACUAUUUUUUCA
rnacentral:misc_RNA from 1 species